rnacentral:rRNA from 1 species
GAUCAUGGCUCAGGAUGAACGCUAGCUACGGGCUUAACACAUGCAAGUCGAGGGGCAGCAUGUGGUUGCUUGCAACCGAUGAUGGCGACCGGCGCACGGGUGAGUAACGCGUAUCCAACCUUCCCUAUAGUAGAGGAUAGCCCGGCGAAAGUCGGAUUAAUACUCUAUGUUGUUCAAUGCAGACAUCUAAGUUGAAUCAAAGGUUCACCGCUAUAGGAUGGGGGAUGCGUCUGAUUAGGUAGUCGGCGGGGUAACGGCCCACCGAGCCAUCGAUCAGUAGGGGUUCUGAGAGGAAGGUCCCCCACAUUGGAACUGAGACACGGUCCAAACUCCUACGGGAGGCAGCAGUGAGGAAUAUUGGUCAAUGGGCGAGAGCCUGAACCAGCCAAGUAGCGUGCAGGAUGACGGCCCUAUGGGUUGUAAACUGCUUUUAUACAGGGAUAAAGUCGGGGACGUGUCCCCGUUUGUAGGUACUGUAUGAAUAAGGACCGGCUAAUUCCGUGCCAGCAGCAGC